rnacentral:rRNA from 1 species
AACGAACGCUGGCGGCAUGCCUAACACAUGCAAGUCGAACGAGACCUUCGGGUCUAGUGGCGCACGGGUGCGUAACGCGUGGGAACCUGCCCUUAGGUUCGGAAUAACUCCCUGAAAGGGGUGCUAAUACCGGAUAAUGUCUUCGGACCAAAGAUUUAUCGCCUUUGGAUGGGCCCGCGUUGGAUUAGCUAGUUGGUAGGGUAAAAGCCUACCAAGGCGACGAUCCAUAGCUGGUCUGAGAGGAUGAUCAGCCACACUGGGACUGAGACACGGCCCAGACUCCUACGGGAGGCAGCAGUGGGGAAUAUUGGACAAUGGGCGAAAGCCUGAUCCAGCAAUGCCGCGUGAGUGACGAAGGCCUUAGGGUUGUAAAGCUCUUUUACCCGGGAUGAUAAUGACAGUACCGGGAGAAUAAGCUCCGGCUAACUCCGUG